UAGGUCUGAAUGCUUACUGCACCACAUGUGUUUUUCUUUGAAACAAACUUGCUUUGGCGGUGGGCCCAGCCUGCCGCCAGAGGUCUAAACUUACAACCAAUUUUUUAUUAACUUGUCACACCAGAUUAUUACUAAAUAGUCAAAACUUUCAACAACGGAUCUCUUGGUUCUCGCAUCGAUAAGAACGCAGCGAAAUGCGAUACGUAAUAUGAAUUGCAGAUAUUCGUGAAUCAUCGAAUCUUUGAACGCACAUUGCGCCCUCUGGUAUUCCGGAGGGCAUGCCUGUUUGAGCGUCGUUUCUCCCUCAAACCGCUGGGUUUGGUGUUGAGCAAUACGACUUGGGUUUGCUUGAAAGACGGUAGUGGUAAGGCGGGAUCGCUUUGACAAUGGCUUAGGUCUAACCAAAAACAUUGCUUGCGGCGGUAACGUCUACCACGUAUAUCUUCAAACUUUGACCUCAAAUCAGGUAGGACUACCCGCUGAACUUAAGCAUAUCAAUAAAGCGGAGGAA
rnacentral:rRNA from 1 species